rnacentral:rRNA from 1 species
GCUUCUCUUGAGAGCGGCGGACGGGUGAGUAAUGCCUAGGAAUCUGCCUAGUGGUGGGGGAUAACGUUCGGAAACGGACGCUAAUACCGCAUACGUCCUACGGGAGAAAGCGGGGGACCUUCGGGCCUCGCGCCAUUAGAUGAGCCUAGGUCGGAUUAGCUAGUUGGUGAGGUAAUGGCUCACCAAGGCUACGAUCCGUAACUGGUCUGAGAGGAUGAUCAGUCACACUGGAACUGAGACACGGUCCAGACUCCUACGGGAGGCAGCAGUGGGGAAUAUUGGACAAUGGGCGAAAGCCUGAUCCAGCCAUGCCGCGUGUGUGAAGAAGGUCUUCGGAUUGUAAAGCACUUUAAGUUGGGAGGAAGGGUAGUAACUUAAUACGUUGCUACUUUGACGUUACCGACAGAAUAAGCACCGGCUAACUUCGUGCCAGCAGCCGCGGUAAUACGAAGGGUGCAAGCGUUAAUCGGAAUUACUGGGCGUAAAGCGCGCGUAGGUGGUUCAGUAAGUUGAAUGUGAAAUCCCCGGGCUCAACCUGGGAACUGCAUCCCAAAACUGCUGAACUAGAGUAC